UUGAACGCUGGCGGAAUGCUUUACACAUGCAAGUCGAGCGGCAGCGCGGGGCAACCUGGCGGCGAGCGGCGAACGGGUGAGUAAUGUAUCGGAACGUACCCCGUCGUGGGGGAUAACACAGCGAAAGCUGUGCUAAUACCGCAUACGUCCUGAGGGAGAAAGCGGGGGAUCGCAAGACCUCGCGCGUUUGGAGCGGCCGAUAUCUGAUUAGCUAGAUGGUGGGGUAAAGGCUCACCAUGGCGACGAUCAGUAGCUGGUCUGAGAGGAUGAUCAGCCACACUGGAACUGAGACACGGUCCAGACUCCUACGGGAGGCAGCAGUGGGGAAUUUUGGACAAUGGGGGAAACCCUGAUCCAGCCAUUCCGCGUGAGUGAAGAAGGCCUUCGGGUUGUAAAGCUCUUUCGGCAGGAACGAAACGGCGGAAUCUAAUACAUUCCACUAAUGACGGUACCUGAAGAAGCAGCACCGGCUAACUACGU
rnacentral:rRNA from 1 species